AAUAACAUAAUAGCCGUUUUCAGUCACUCCUGAAAUGCUUCUGGAGCGGGGCCCUAUAAAAAUGGACUUUUUCUCAUCAAACACUCCACUACAAAGUACCCUGCGGAACUCCAAAGAAUCGACAUUUUCACUAGAAGGGGAAACCUCAUUGCAGUUUAGAGGAUCCAUUUGCGGAACUCCAAGGAAUCCACAUUUUCACUAGAAGGGGAAAUCUCAUUGCAGUUUAAAGGAUCCAUUCGCAAUCUAUUUUGUCUAUACUCAAGCAUUUCAAUCUGCAAAUAG
rnacentral:lncRNA from 1 species